rnacentral:rRNA from 1 species
CCGGCAAACAUAGGGCCAGGGUCGGCGGGAAGCGGUAGGGGGCGAGCGUUAUCGGGAAUGACUGGGCGGAAAGCGUGCGUAUGUGGAUGUUUAAGUGAGUUGUUAAAUCGGGUGGCUCAACCAUAUCGUUGCAAUUCAUACUGGGCAUCUAGAGGACGGCAGAGGCAAGUGGAACUAGCAGUGUAGCAGUGAAAUGCGUAGAUAUUGCUAAGAACACCAAUGGCGAAGGCAGCUUGCUGGGCCACUCCUGACACUGAGGUACGAAAGCGUGGGGAGCGAACAGGAUUAGAUACCCUAUAGC